rnacentral:misc_RNA from 1 species
CAGGAAAUGGCUCAGGGUUGCAAACCCAGACACAGAAAGUACAUAACGAAACUGUGGAAGAAUUUCGUAAAGGCAAGGUGAAUAUAAUUGUUGCGACAUCAAUUCUGGAGGAAGGUUUAGAUGUUCAAAGCUGCAACUUGGUAGUUAGAUUUGAUCCUUCAGCUACCAUUAGCAGUUUCAUACAGUCACGAGGUCGUGCUAGGAUGCAUAAUUCAGACUAUUUGUUAAUGGUGAAGAGAGGGGAUCUUUCUACAUGUUCUCGUCUAGAGAACUAUCUUUCUAGUGGAGAUAUAAUGAGAAAGGAGUCCUUACGCCAUGCUUUUGUUCCUUGUUCACCUCCUAAGAGUGAAUUAUACGAUGAUGAUUUUUAUUGUAUUGAAAGCACUGAAGCAAUUGUGACUCUGGCCUCUAGUGUCAGUUUGAUAAACAUCUAUUGCUUUUGUCUCCCUUCUGAUCGGUAUUUUAAACCUGCACCAAGGUGUGUUAUAGACAAGGAGAGGGAGAUUUGCACAUUACUUCUACCAAAGAGCUGUCCCAUAGAGACUAUCUGUGUACAAGGAAACAUUAAAACUUUGAAGCAGAAGGCUUGCCUUGAAGCAUGCAAGCCACUUCACAAGAUUGGUGCGUUAACUGAUAAUCUUGUUCCUGAUUGUGUGGAGGAAGAAGCUGUUGUUAAAGAAGUUGGGAAUGUUCCUUGUGGUGAUGAACAACCUAUGUACUACCCACCUGAGCUAGUCAGCCAAGGUUCAAAGGAGUCAAAAGGAACGUACUACUUCUACUUAAUUGAAUUAAACCAGAAUUUUGAUUCUGACAUUCCUGUACAUAAUAUUAUACUUGUCAUGGGGAGUGAGCUGGAAUCAGAUAUCUUAAGUCUGGAUUUUGAGUUAGAAGUUGAUAGAGGACUAUUGACUGUGAAAUUAAAGUAUAUUGGAGAGCUUGAUCUUACUACAGAGAUGGUCCUUAUAUGUAGGAAGUUUUUGAUCGCUCUUUCCAAAGUUCUUGUGGAUCAUAAUGUAAAUGAACUAGAAGAGAUUUUGAAUGGUUUGCGGCUGAGGAAAGACCCCGAGAUUGAUUAUUUCCUGCUUCCAUCCAUGGCCUCAUGCCAGAAACCUGUCAUUGACUGGAGUUCCAUUGUGUCUGUACUGUUCUCAUAUGCUAAUGCAUGGGAAGAUCAUGUGAAAUGUCCUCUGAAGGACUCUGCACAUAUUAUAUGGACGAAAAAUGGUCAGGUAUGCAAAUGCAUGCUUGAGAACUCCUUAGUCUACACUCCACAUAAUGGAGAAGUAUAUUGCAUAAAAGGCAUAUUCAAUCAUUUGGAUGGACGGUCACUUUUGAGGUUGAAGAAUGGAGAUUGUAAAACUUACAAGGAGUAUUACAAAGAUAAGCAUGGCAUCAAUCUGAGUUUUGAUCAACAAUUACUUCUUCGUGGACGGCAUAUUUUUCCAUUGCAGAAUUACCUUGAUAGAUGCAGACAACACAAGGGGAAAGAUUCACAAAAUGCAUAUGUCCAGUUACCUCCUGAACUUUGUUGCAUUAAAAUGUCACCUAUAUCCAUAAGUACUUUCUAUUCUUUUACAUUUGUUCCAUCAAUCAUGCAUCGGCUUGAGUCUUUGCUCAUUGCUGUCAACUUGAAGAAAUUGCAUUUGGAUCAAAUGCGAAAUGUCAUUAUUCCAACCAUCAAGGUUUUGGAAGCAAUUACCACAAAAAAGUGUCAAGAGAAAUUUCAUUUGGAAUCACUAGAGACUCUUGGGGAUUCUUUUCUUAAAUAUGCUGCUAGUCAGCAGCUAUUCAAAACAUAUCAAAAUUAUCAUGAGGGCCUUCUCAGUAUUAAGAAGGAAAAGCUUAUUAGUAAUGCUACACUUUGCAAAUUAGGAUGCGACCGCAAACUUCCGGGAUUCAUCCGCAAUGAGUCUUUUGAUCCUAAAAACUGGAUGAUUCCUGGUGAUACUCAUGGAUAUUCAUUACAUGAGGAGUUUCUCUCCAAUGCAAGGAGUAUAUACAUAAUAAGAAGAAGAAAACUAAAAAGGAAGGUUGUUGCUGAUGUUGUUGAGGCACUUAUUGGUGCUUACCUUAGUGCAGGUGGUGAAACAGCUGCCUUAUUAUUUCUGAAUUGGAUUGGUAUAGAGGUAGAUUUUUUGAAUACACCAUAUGAACCGCAAUUCAAAGUGAACCCAGAGAAGUACAUUAAUAUCCGCCGCUUAGAGUCGCUAUUGAAUUACUCUUUUAAAAAUCCUUCUCUGUUAUUGGAAGCACUUACUCAUGGUUCUUACAUGCUUCCUGAGAUUCCAAGAUGUUAUCAGCGGCUGGAAUUUCUUGGAGAUGCAGUGUUAGAUUACCUUAUCACAGAGUAUUUGUAUGGCAAGUAUCCUGAGAUAUCGCCAGGACUAUUAACUGAAAUGAGAUCUGCUUCAGUGAACAAUGACUGCUAUGCAAGAUCUGCAGUUAGGGAAGGACUGCAUAAGCAUAUUCUCUACACAUCUCAAAAGCUUGACAAGGAUAUUGGCUUUGCAGUCAAAUGUUGUGAGAAUUAUUCUUCAGAAUCAACUUUUGGAUGGGAAUCUGAGAUAUCUUUUCCCAAGGUUCUUGGAGAUGUGAUGGAGUCUUUGGCAGGAGCUAUUUUUGUUGAUUCUGGAUACAACAAAGAUGUGGUCUUUAGGAGCAUAAGGCCACUUUUGGAGCCUUUGGUUACUUUGGAGACACUUAGAUUAAAUCCUACGAAAGAGCUUAACGAAUUAUGUCAAAUAAAACAUUUUAAAAAGAAAAACCCCUUUGUUCCUCUCAACAAUGGCAUGUCUUCUGUCACUGUUGAGGUUAAAGCUAAUGGGGUAAAAUUUAAACACACAUCUACAGCUGCAAACAAGAAGACAGCUGAAAAAUUAGCUUCUAAAGAGGUUUUGAGGGUCUUGAAGGAAAAAUUUAACAUCUAGAGAAAAUCAGAUUGGUGUGCAAUUAAAAGCUAGGAUCAACUUUCUGAUGCUAGCAGAGUCGCUUAUCAGCUUAAGCAGCAGCCAUUGGUGUUGCUGUCAAGACUGGGGCUAUAAGAGUUAAAAUUCUGCCAUAAUGUACUGUAUUAGAUGCUGCAUCUUGGUUCCUUAAAAAAUUCAAAAUGUAAUGUGACCUUUUCUUUUUCUUAUUUACCAUUAAUGGUAUUAAUGUUAAUAUGAAUCCAUUUAUCCCCU